AAAACAGCCCUACGGGAGGCAGCAGUAGGGAAUAUUGGACAAUGGGCGAAAGCCUGAUCCAGCAAUGCCGCGUGAGCGAUGAAGGCCUUAGGGUUGUAAAGCUCUUUUACCCGAGAUGAUAAUGACAGUAUCGGGAGAAUAAGCCCCGGCUAACUCCGUGCCAGCAGCCGCGGUAAUACGGAGGGGGCUAGCGUUGUUCGGAAUUACUGGGCGUAAAGCGCACGUAGGCGGCUAUCUAAGUCAGAGGUGAAAGCCCGGGGCUCAACCCCGGAACUGCCUUUGAGACUGGAUAGCUAGAAUCUUGGAGAGGCGGGUGGAAUUCCGAGUGUAGAGGUGAAAU
rnacentral:rRNA from 1 species